rnacentral:rRNA from 1 species
GACGAACCGUGCAAACGUUGUUCGGAAUCACUGGGCGUAAAGCGCGUGUAGGCGGCAAUGCAAGUCGGAUGUGAAAUCCCCGCGGCUCAACCGUGGAAGUGCACCCGAAACUGCAUAGCUAGAGUGUCGGAGAGGAAGGUGGAAUGCUUGGUGUAGAGGUGAAAUUCGUAGAUAUCAAGCGGAACACCGGUGGCGAAGGCGGCCUUCUGGACGACGACUGACGCUGAGACGCGAAAGCGUGGGUAGCAAACAGG